AGAGCUCCAGAACCGUCUUUUAAAAUACCUUAGACUGCUUAAAGUUAGAGCAAGUAGUUCCCAUUUCCCUGUCAGGAAAAUGGAAAUGGCCGCUUGAAAGAGGACACAGCUGAAGCCUCAAAUUCUAGCAUUGCAGCAGCUUGGCUGGCUUGGUUGGAACUGGCUUCUUCAUUCUCCAUGGAAAGGAUGCUGUGGAGGAUAUUCUGCACUGUGAUCUAGAGGCACCAGUACCUUGAAAAGUCCCCACUGCCUGCUCCCUUAUAGCUCGUGAAAUUUUCCUUGAAAUGCAGUUCUGAGGGAAUAUGAAAAUUUGCAAAAGCCAAG